rnacentral:sRNA from 1 species
UCACUCCUAUCACCUUUCAGCCCACCCCAAAGUGAUGAUCAGGCUUAAGGACCCCCCAGCAUCCCUUUGGUAGUGAAGGACUGGAUUGUUCUGAGACUUAUGCCUCAUCACCAUGGUAACUGGUGCCACCUGCUCACCAAGGUCAAGCAGGAAUCCCUGUCCUUCCCUUUCAGGGGGGUGACAGCGGCCUCAGCCUGUCUCUUCCACAGGUGGCUGCGCUGGAGCGGCAGAUCUUUGACUUCCUGGGCUACCAGUGGGCUCCCAUCCUAGCCAACUUCCUGCACAUCAUGGCGGUCAUCCUGGGCAUCUUUGGCACCGUGCAGUACCGCUCCCGGUACCUCAUCCUGUAUGCAGCCUGGCUGGUGCUCUGGGUUGGCUGGAAUGCGUUUAUCAUCUGCUUCUACUUGGAGGUUGGACAGCUGUCCCAGGUAAGCCUCAGACCUGGCAGUGCUAUAGGGCAGAGCCUGACCAUUCCCAUCCCCUGCCCUAAGGGUAUUGUGGUAUAGGACCAG